rnacentral:rRNA from 1 species
GUGGGGAAUCUUGCGCAAUGGGCGAAAGCCUGACGCAGCCAUGCCGCGUGAAUGAUGAAGGUCUUAGGAUUGUAAAAUUCUUUCACCGGGGACGAUAAUGACGGUACCCGGAGAAGAAGCCCCGGCUAACUUCGUGCCAGCAGCCGCGGUAAUACGAAGGGGGCUAGCGUUGCUCGGAAUUACUGGGCGUAAAGGGCGCGUAGGCGGACAGUUUAGUCAGAGGUGAAAGUCCAGGGCUCAACCUUGGAAUUGCCUUUGAUACUGGCUGUCUUGAGUACGGGAGAGGUGAGUGGAACUCCGAGUGUAGAGGUGAAAUUCGUAGAUAUUCGGAAGAACACCAGUGGCGAAGGCGACUCACUGGCCCGUUACUGACGCUGAGGCGCGAAAGCGUGGGGAGCAAACAGGAUUAGAAACCCUGGUAGUCC